rnacentral:rRNA from 1 species
UACGGGGGGAGCAAGGGUUGUUCGGAUUUACGGGGCGUAAAGGGCGCGUAGGCGGUCAGCACAAGUCAGUUGUGAAAUCUCCGGGCUUAACUCGGAAAGGUCAACUGAUACUGUGCGACUAGAGUGCGGAAGGGGCAACUGGAAUUCUCGGUGUAGCGGUGAAAUGCGUAGAUAUCGAGAGGAACACCUGCGACGAAGGCGGGUUGCUGGGCCGACACUGACGCUGAUGCGCGAAAGCCAGGGGAGCGAACGGG